rnacentral:lncRNA from 1 species
CAACUCUUCCCCUGCAGCAAGAGCUCCAAGUCCCUUGGCUUCCAGCCCUGAGCCCUGGUCCUGGAGGAAAGGGAGAAGCUUGAACCAGGGAAGGUGGUGACUAGUGUCCCCAAGGGAGGCUGGGCACUCAGACUGAGCUGGCUUAGCUGCUGUGCCUGUGGUCUCCAGAGCCAGAUCCCCUCCAUUAAGUAUACGGACAUGACUGUGCCUUUCCUCAAGACUAUGAGUAUGGGACCUGGCUCCAUUGCUUGAUUGCCAUCCAAGACCACUUGCUACCACCCAGGGUCUGAGUGCUCAAGAGAAAAGGCCAGAUACAGGGGUGUAAAUACAGAUUUCCUCAGAUGUCUGGACAGACAGCACCUCCUCUGCUUGACCUCUCAGAAAGUGAGCGACUUAAAUGAACUCUUGAAUUUGGAAUGAACCACAGUCGUG